GAGUUUGAUCUUGGCUCAGGACGAACGCUGGCGGCGUGCCUAAUACAUGCAAGUCGAACGAAUGGAUAAAGAGCUUGCUCUUUUGAAGUUAGUGGCGGACGGGUGAGUAACACGUGGGUAACCUGCCUCACAGCUGGGGAUAACAUCGAGAAAUCGAUGCUAAUACCGAAUGUGCUGAACAUCAUAAGAUGUUCAAGUGAAAGACGGUUUCGGCUGUCACUGUGAGAUGGACCCGCGCUGGAUUAGCUAGUUGGUAAGGUAAUGGCUUACCAAGGCGACGAUCCAUAGCCGACCUGACGAGGGUGAUCGGCCACAUUGGGACUGAGACACGGCCCAAACUCCUACGGGAGGCAGCAGUAGGGAAUCUUCGGCAAUGGAC
rnacentral:rRNA from 1 species